rnacentral:rRNA from 1 species
CUUGGGUACUCGAGUGGCGAACGGGUGAGUAACACGUGGGUGAUCUGCCCUGCACUUCGGGAUAAGCUUGGGAAACUGGGUCUAAUACCGGAUAGGAACCGUCUUUAGUGUGGUGGUUGGAAAGUUUUUUCGGUGCAAGAUGAGCUCGCGGCCUAUCAGCUUGUUGGUGGGGUAAUGGCCUACCAAGGCGUCGACGGGUAGCCGGCCUGAGAGGGUGUACGGCCACAUUGGGACUGAGAUACGGCCCAG